UUUGAAAUUUUCAAAUUUCUCUUUCAUUUUUUAGCAGAAGUGUUUACUCUCUGGUUAUAUCAUAGAACGUAAUACUCUUUGAUUAUUUUAUCUCUUCUGUGCAGAGACAGGUUGUCUCUGGUUCUAUGGUUAUACUUGAUGUUGAUCUUAGUUACCUUUCUCGAAGAACGCUAACGCGCUUGCGCGUCCGCCGUGAUUCGAUACGAGAUUCAAAAACAGUUGCCAUAAAAUAGUUAGCUUUGGUCGGACAUUUGCAAUUUCUAGAAUUUUCCGAUGCUUUCCUAUGAUUUUCGACGAUUUCGAUCGAAUUUCCAACAGAUUAGAGAAAAGAAGAAAUUCCUUUAGAACAGAAUCAACUACAGCAACUUCUGAUGGAAAACAAUAAAUUCCAGUCAAAGCAAGACUUUCCGCUGAAAAUUAUGUCAGGGGACUUAGAAGAAAAUCAAGAUGAUGACGAUCAGAGAGGAAGGAACUACUCAAUCGAUGGACAUCUCAGAUGAAUACAAUAAAAGUGGUUGUUUGUAACAAUUACGAAGAC